GUAGGGAAUAUUGGGCAAUGGAGGCAACUCUGACCCAGCCAUGCCGCGUGCAGGAUGACGGCCCUCUGGGUUGUAAACUGCUUUUAUACGGGAAGAAAAAAUACUACGUGUAGUAUACUGACGGUACCGUAAGAAUAAGGAUCGGCUAACUCCGUGCCAGCAGCCGCGGUAAUACGGAGGAUCCAAGCGGUGUCCGGAUUUAUUGGGUUUAAAGGGUGCGUCGGCGGAUCUUUAAGUCAGUGGUGAAAGCCUGCAGCUUAACUGUAGAAUUGCCAUUGAAACUGAAGAUCUUGAAUGUGGUUAAAGUAGGCGGAAUGUAUCAUGUAGCGGUGAAAUGCUUAGAUAUGAUACAGUACACCGAUAGCGAAGGCAGCUUGCUGAACCAUUAUUGACGCUGAGGCACGAAAGCGUGGGGAGCGAACAGGAUUAGAUACCCGUGUAGUCC
rnacentral:rRNA from 1 species